GAGAAGACAGCUGACGUCUUUUCGCUCGGAUGUGUCUUCCACUUCAUCAUCUUCCCCGGACAGCAUCCUUUUGGCGAUAUGUCCCACAGGAUGGCAAACAUCCAACAGGGAAAACCGUGCCUCGCGAACAUCGAAGAUCCCAAAUCAGUGAGCGUAGCGACAAGGCAUCUGAUAGAAGAAAUGAUACAGUUAGAUCCAACAGAAAGACCAUCGAGUACCUACGUGAUCAACCAUCCGGCUUUGUGGACAUCAGAGCGAACGGAAAAGUUUUUCCAGGCUGUCAGCGACUGCAUCAAAGAAGACAAAGAACAUGGCCCUGUGCUGAAGGAGGCUGUCAAUGAAGAACUCGAUCUUGCGUUCGUCACAGAACUGGUCAAACUGAAAGAAUGGAAGAAAGUCGUCGACGCCACUCUGGAUAAAGGGGCUUUCAAGAGCUACCAGGGGACCACUGCAGAACUACUUAGGUUGAUAAGAAACAAGGUGAUGUAAAAUAUUAUUAUCUUUGCUUGUUUUUCGUUUACAUUAGCGACGCACCACCAACGAAGGUCGAUUAGCAAACACCUCAUUUCGUAGAGUAAAAUUUUCACGAUGCAAAAUGCACAUUGCACAAUUCACAUCCAAGAUGGUAUCUCGAAGAAGCGCUACACAGAUCAGCACCAGUACACAUUGCACUACUCCCACUUUUAAGGAUCUGCUCCCUCUGCAUAAAGCUCGGAUUACCAAUGUAAAAUACCUUAAAUUCCUCCACAUGCCGGUGGACUAAAUUUUCCUUAGACUGCUAUAGGAGGGAUGUUUUAUGCCCCUUCUAACUCCCAUCUUCGGAAAGGUAGCGACACGCAGUAGUACGAACGCAUCAAAUUUCACCAUACAGUUAUUGUUAUAUCAGGCAAAGGGGGGUUCCGGACAAAAUAUCGAAAAGCAAAAUAUCGAAUAGCAAAAUAUCGAAGACAAAUUAUCGAAGUGGCAGAAUAUCGAAAGCAAAAUAUCGAAUGCGCAAAAUAUCGAAAUCGCAAAAUAUCGAACCGCAAAAUAUCGACAUCGCAAAAUAUCGAAUUGCAUAAUAUCGAAUUGCAAAAUAUCGAACUCGCAAAAUAUGGAAUAGAAUAAUAUCGAAAGCAAAAUAUCGAAACGCAAAAUAUCGAAAGACAAAAUAUUGAAAGACAAAAUAUCGAAAGACAAAACAUCGAAAGACAAAA